rnacentral:misc_RNA from 1 species
AAGUCGUAACAAGGUUUCCGUAGGUGAACCUGCGGAAGGAUCAUUAAAGAUUCGGGUCUCGGCCCACCUCAUCAGCUGUGCGCUUCGGCUGCACGCUGCAUGAACAACUCACACCUGUGCGCAUCUUCGGUGGCGGCGUUCGCGUCGCUUCCGCUUUACAUUUAACAACUGUUCAGAAUGUACAAACCAUAAACAAUACAACUUUCAACAACGGAUCUCUUGGCUCUC